rnacentral:rRNA from 1 species
UACGUAGGGUGCUAGCGUUAUCCGGAAUCACUGGGCGUAAAGCGUGCGUAGGCGGCUUGUUAAGUGAGAUGUGAAACCGUGUGGCUCAACCAUAUCGUUCAUUUCAUACUGGCAGGCUAGAGGACGGCAGAGGCAAGUGGAAUUGGUAGUGUAGCAGUGAAAUGCGUAGAUAUUACCAGGAACACCAGUGGCGAAGGCGGCUAUCUGGGCUGAAAACUGACGCUGAGGCGCGAAGGCUAGGGUAGCAAACAGG